GGCCUAUUGAAUAUAAUUUUAGGUCGAUCUGCCCAAUGAUUUUUAAUUUAAUGGCUGCGGUAUUUUGACUGUACAAAGGUAGCAUAAUCAAUUGUUUUUUAAAUGAAAACUAGAAUGAAAGAAUUAAUGAGAUAUAUACUGUCUCAUAUAUAAUUAAUGAAUUUAAAUUUUUAGUAAAAAUGCUUAAAUUAUUUUAUGGGACGAUAAGACCCUAUAGAAUUUUAUAUUAAUAUAAAUAAUUAUUUUUAUAAAUUUUUUAUAUUAAUAUUUAAUUGGGAGGAUUAGUAAAUUUAAUAAACUUUAUUUUAAAUAUAAACUUUGAUUUAAGAAUUUUUUUGAUCUUGUAUUAUAAAAAUAAGAAUAAAUUACCUUAGGGAUAACAGCGUAAUAUCUUUUUAAAGGUCAUAUUAAUAAAGAUGAUUGCGACCUCGAUGUUGAAUUAAGAUAAAUUUUAGAUGGAGAAGUUUAAAAAUUAAGUCUGUUCGACUUUUAAAAUCUUACAUGAUUUGAGUUCAAAUCGACGUGAGU
rnacentral:rRNA from 1 species